AUUGAACGCUGGCGGCAGGCUUAACACAUGCAAGUCGAGCGGAGAUGAGGUGCUUGCACCUUAUCUUAGCGGCGGACGGGUGAGUAAUGCUUAGGAAUCUGCCUAUUAGUGGGGGACAACAUUCCGAAAGGAAUGCUAAUACCGCAUACGUCCUACGAGAGAAAGCAGGGGAUCUUCGGACCUUGCGCUAAUAGAUGAGCCUAAGUCGGAUUAGCUAGUUGGUGGGGUAAAGGCCUACCAAGGCGACGAUCUGUAGCGGGUCUGAGAGGAUGAUCCGCCACACUGGGACUGAGACACGGCCCAGACUCCUACAGGAGGCAGCAGUGGGGAAUAUUGGACAAUGGGGGGAACCCUGAUCCAGCCAUGCCGCGUGUGUGAAGAAGGCCUUAUGGUUGUAAAGCACUUUAAGCGAGGAGGAGGCUACUGAGACUAAUACUCUUGGAUAGUGGACGUUACUCGCAGAAUAAGCACCGGCUAACUCUGUGCCAGCAGCCGCGGUAAGAC
rnacentral:rRNA from 1 species